CGUGUAGGCGGUUUUUUAAGUCUGAUGUGAAAGCCCUGGGCUCAACCUGGGAAGUGCAUUGGAUACUGGAAGACUUGAGUACGGGAGAGGGUAGUGGAAUUCCUAGUGUAGGAGUGAAAUCCGUAGAUAUUAGGAGGAACACCGGUGGCGAAGGCGGCUGCCUGGACCGAUACUGACGCUGAGACGCGAAAGCGUGGGGAGCAAACAGGAUUAGAUACCCUGGUAGUCCACGCCGUAAACGAUGAGAACUAGGUGUUGCGGGUAUUGACCCCUGCAGUGCCGUAGCUAACGCAUUAAGUUCUCCGCCUGGGAAGUACGGUCGCAAGACUAAA
rnacentral:rRNA from 1 species